rnacentral:rRNA from 1 species
GGAGUUAGCCGGUGCUUCUUCUGCGAGUAACGUCACAGAUGUAAGGUAUUAACUUACACCCUUUCCUCCUCGCUGAAAGUGCUUUACAACCCGAAGGCCUUCUUCACACACGCGGCAUGGCUGCAUCAGGGUUUCCCCCAUUGUGCAAUAUUCCCCACUGCUGCCUCCCGUAGGAGUCUGGGCCGUGUCUCAGUCCCAGUGUGGCUGAUCAUCCUAUCAGACCAGCUAGGGAUCGUCGCCUAGGUGAGCCUUUACCUCACCUACUAGCUAAUCCCACCUGGGCUUAUCCAUCAGCGCAAGGCCCGAAGGUCCCCUGCUUUCCCCCGUAGGGCGUAUGCGGUAUUAGCAGUCGUUUCCAACUGUUAUCCCCCACAAAUGGGCAAAUUCCCAGGCAUUACUCACCCGUCCGCCGCUCGUCAUCUUCAAAAGCAAGCUUUUGAAAUGUUACCGCUCGACUUGCAUGUGUUAGGCCUGCCGCCAGCGUUCAAUCUGAGCCAGGAUCAAACUCUGA